rnacentral:rRNA from 1 species
AGUCGAACGAGAGAUGAGGAGCUUGCUCUUCAAAUCGAGUGGCGAACGGGUGAGUAACGCGUGAGGAACCUGCCUCAAAGAGGGGGACAACAGUUGGAAACGACUGCUAAUACCGCAUAAGCCCACGGCUCGGCAUCGAGCAGGGGGAAAAGGAGCAAUCCGCUUUGAGAUGGCCUCGCGUCCGAUUAGCUAGUUGGUGAGGUAAUGGCCCACCAAGGCGACGAUCGGUAGCCGGACUGAGAGGUUGAACGGCCACAUUGGGACUGAGACACGGCCCAGACUCCUACGGGAGGCAGCAGUGGGGAAUAUUGCACAAUGGGGGAAACCCUGAUGCAGCGACGCCGCGUGGAGGAAGAAGGUCUUCGGAUUGUAAACUCCUGUUGUUGAGGAAGAUAAUGACGGUACUCAACAAGGAAGUGACGGCUAACUACGUGCCAGCAGCCGCGGUAAAACGUAGGUCACAAGCGUUGUCCGGAAUUACUGGGUGUAAAGGGAGCGCAGGCGGGAGAACAAGUUGGAAGUGAAAUCCAUGGGCUCAACCCAUGAACUGCUUUCAAAACUGUUUUUCUUGAGUAGUGCAGAGGUAGGCGGAAUUCCCGGUGUAGCGGUGGAAUGCGUAGAUAUCGGGAGGAACACCAGUGGCGAAGGCGGCCUACUGGGCACCAACUGACGCUGAGGCUCGAAAGUGUGGGUAGCAAACAGGAUUAGAUACCCUGGUAGUCCGCACCGUAAACGAUGAUUACUAGGUGUUGGGGGAUUGACCCCUUCAGUGCCGCAGUUAACACAAUAAGUAAUCCACCUGGGGAGUGCGACCGCAAGGUUGAA